rnacentral:misc_RNA from 1 species
GUAGGUGAACCUGCGGAAGGAUCAUUAUUGAAUUAUAAGGCGUUGAUUGUGCUGGCCUCUCGGGGCAUGUGCACGUCUCCGCCCGUUAAUCCCAACCACCCCUGUGAACCGACCGUGUGGGGCGCUCUGUAAUGGAGCCGUCUCAUGCUUUAUCAUAAACACUGUAUGUCUUUGAAUGUAAAAUCUAUAUCCUCGCCUUAAAACCGCGUCGAUAAAAAAAAGUUAAUAUAACUUUCAACAACGGAUCUCUUGGCUCUA